rnacentral:ncRNA from 2 species
AAUAUUUAGAGCGAUGGAGUUCGCUUAACUGCUACAUUGUAGCUGAUAACUCCUGUUGAAGU